rnacentral:lncRNA from 1 species
GCAUAGGGAAGCUUGUCAUCAGGACCCUGAACUGACUGCGUACCACUCUACCCCUCAUCCCUUGAUAAAGUUUAAGACAAGGGUCAAGGGUGUCCCUAACAGGACUGUUCCUGAGCCUCAGGGAUUUUACAGAGCAGGGCUCUACACGAGAGAAAGCAGAUUGGGAGGAGAUGUCACAGACACCCUUGCAUGGGAGGAGACAGGAGCUCAUUGCACUCAGUCUGAUGAUUUGUAGGGACAAGGCAGCCCCUUUUGGUCUGAGGAUUC